GCCAGACUCCUACGGGAGGCAGCAGUGGGGGAUAUUGCACAAUGGGGGGAACCCUGAUGCAGCGACGCCGCGUGGGUGAAGGAGUGCUUCGGCAUGUAAAGCCCUAUCGGCAGGGAAGAAGCAAGACGGUACCCGACUAAGAAGCCCCGGCUAACUACGUGCCAACAGCCGCGGUAAUACGUAGGGGGCGAGCGUUAUCCGGAUUCACUGGGUGUAAAGGGAGCGUAGACGGCCAUGCAAGCCAGGGGUGAAAGCCCGGGGCCCAACCCCGGGACUGCUCUGGAAACUGUAUGACUUGAGUGCAGGAGAGGUAAGCGGAAUUCCUAGUGUAGCGGUGAAAUGCGCAGAUAUUAGGAGGAACACCAGUGGCGAAGGCGGCUUACUGGACUGUAACUGACGUUGAGGCUCGAAAGCGUGGGGAGCAAACAGGAUUAGAUACCCCAGUAC
rnacentral:rRNA from 1 species